rnacentral:tRNA from 1 species
UAGGGGCAUUAGCUCAGCUGGGAGAGCGCCUGCAUGGCAUGCAGGAGGUCAGCGGUUCGAUCCCGCUAUGCUCCACCAU